UGUUUGCCAAGUUUAGAAGGCACUUAUGCCAAGUGAAGACGAUCCCUUCAUUCACGCAUUCAUUCCGAGCUGUCUGCAGUGGCUCUCUCAGGCCCCAGGAAGAAAGAGACGAAUGGGUUGAGGAUUGAACCCUAGAGGACCACAUAGUUUCACGGGAGAGACAGAAACAGUGAUUGCACAUACGCUGUGACAAAUGUCACUGCAGGUGUGCUCAUGCAGUCCCAGCAGGGGUGUCAAGGGGAGGUCAGGACAGGCUUUGAAGCCAGGCACUGACCUGCCGCCUAAGGCCAUGUCACUUGAGUAGCAAGGGCCACAGGUCAGAUACAGGCAGUCCUUCUCUCCCCCAUAUCCACUCAUGGGCUUCGCUUUGGAGCAGAAAUAAGAUAAAAAAACCUCUCAUCAUAAGGGACGAUGCUUCAGUAUUAGGACGGAGUUCCUCAAACACAGAAAAGCACAAAGCAGGAGUUUUGCAGCAAGCUCUGGUGACACAUCUCCCGGUGGGCAGCUGCCAAUGGUUUUGGGUUGACCAGCAUGGACAACACCAGCCUGGACAGAUAAAGGAAAAGAAGGCAGUGUCUCUGUCUUGGAAGAGGUCCAACCUGUGGCGUCACCUUUGGACGCGGAUCUGCAAUUUCUUCAGCCCUCCAAGGCCGACUCGCACCUACGACUCUACAGUGACCUUCCAGGCUUUCAAUGUUGGACUGUUCCUGGAUCCUGCAGCUCUCAGUACGCAGAUGGCCACUGUGGACUCUUCUGCCUUUGAUCCUGGUUUCACUAUGCAGAUCAGGGCUGGCCUUGAACUCACUUU